rnacentral:rRNA from 1 species
GAUGAACGCUGGCGGCGUGCCUAAUACAUGCAAGUCGAGCGAACAGACGAGGAGCUUGCUCCUCUGACGUUAGCGGCGGACGGGUGAGUAACACGUGGAUAACCUACCUAUAAGACUGGGAUACCUUCGGGAAACCGGAGCUAAUACCGGAUAAUAUUUUGAACCGCAUGGUUCAAUAGUGAAAGACGGUUUUGCUGUCACUUAUAGAUGGAUCCGCGCCGCAUUAGCUAGUUGGUAAGGUAACGGCUUACCAAGGCAACGAUGCGUAGCCGACCUGAGAGGGUGAUCGGCCACACUGGAACUGAGACACGGUCCAGACUCCUACGGGAGGCAGCAGUAGGGAAUCUUCCGCAAUGGGCGAAAGCCUGACGGAGCAACGCCGCGUGAGUGAUGAAGGUCUUCGGAUCGUAAAACUCUGUUAUUAGGGAAGAACAAAUGUGUAAGUAACUAUGCACGUCUUGACGGUACCUAAUCAGAAAGCCACGGCUAACUACGUG